UACGGGGGGGGCAAGCGUUGUUCGGAAUUACAGGGCGUAAAGGGCUCGUAGGUGGCCAACUAAGUCAGACGUGAAAUCCCCAGGCUCAACCUGGGAAUGGCAUCCGAUACGGCGGGGCUGGAGUGUGGGAGAGGUUGGUGGAAUUCCCAGUGUAGAGGUGAAAUUCGUAGAUAUUGGGAAGAACACCGGUGGCGAAGGCGGCCAACUGGACCACAACUGACGCUGAGGCGCGAAAGCGUGGGGAGCAAACAGG
rnacentral:rRNA from 1 species